rnacentral:tRNA from 1 species
AAAAAGCCGGAAUAGC